GAUGAACGCUGGCGGCGUGCCUAAUGCAUGCAAGUCGAGCGAAUGGAUUAAGAGCUUGCUCUUAUGAAGUUAGCGGCGGACGGGUGAGUAACACGUGGGUAACCUGCCCAUAAGACUGGGAUAACUCCGGGACACCGGGGCCCAUCCCGGCUCACCUUUUGAACCGCCUGGUUCGACAUUGACAGGCGGCUUCGGCUGUCACUUAUGGAUGGACCCGCGUCGCAUUAGCUAGUUGGUGAGGUAACGGCUCACCAAGGCAACGAUGCGUAGCCGACCUGAGAGGGUGAUCGGCCACACUGGGACUGAGACACGGCCCAGACUCCUACGGGAGGCAGCAGUAGGGAAUCUUCCGCAAUGGACGAAAGUCUGACGGAGCAACGCCGCGUGAGUGAUGAAGGCUGUCGGGUCGUAAAACUCUGUUGUUAGGGAAGAACAAGUGCUAGUUGAAUAAGCUGGCACCUUGACGGUACCUAACCAGAAAGCCACGGCUAACUACGUGCCAGCCGCCGCAGUAA
rnacentral:rRNA from 1 species